UACGAAGGGGGCUAGCGUUGCUCGGAAUCACUGGGCGUAAAGGGUGCGUAGGCGGGUCUUAAGUCAGGGGUGAAAUCCUGGAGCUCAACUCCAGAACUGCCUUUGAUACUGAAGAUCUUGAGUUCGGGAGAGGUGAGUGGAACUGCGAGUGUAGAGGUGAAAUUCGUAGAUAUUCGCAAGAACACCAGUGGCGAAGGCGGCUCACUGGCCCGAUACUGACGCUGAGGCACGGAAAGCGUGGGGAGCAAACAGGG
rnacentral:rRNA from 1 species